AUGUAAAGUCUAGAUAUCUGAAUUUAUUUUAUUCUUUUUAAAAGUGUGUGAUGAUACACGUAUUCACACAGAUGUUUUUUCCGGUACAGGGCUUUGGGUUCGGUGCAGAUGUGUACUGAAUGCAAUCCUUUUUAUGUGCAGAACAAAGGGAAAGAAUUAAUCGCUCUGUUCUGCCUACGUCAGGAAAUUGAUCGGUUUCCAAAAGAUCGUAAGGAUUUUGGGUUUUCACUCCAUACCGGUCGCCGUCCUGCGGGUUUUCUAAGAACGUCAUCCUACGGAAGCCUUAGCAGAUCUCAGAAUCAGAUCAAAUCCAAUUAUUUUGCCAGAUGUACAGCCAGAAGCUGGGGUCAGAGCACAAGGUCAGUCGCGAUACGGCAGCUCUGGAGCACAGAUGGUUAAGGGCCUUGCUUAAGGGCCCAACAGGGCAACACUGGGUCUCGAACCUCAGACCUUCUAAUCAGUAACUCAAAACCUCGUCACCGCAAUCUACAAUUGGAGGCGUGAAGUGUUUGAAACCCAACCAGUAAAUCCAGGAAAUGGAUCAUGUAGUGAUGUCAAAAUAAAGAUAUUUAGCUGCUUGGGAGGAAUCUAGGGAUCUUUUCAGAGACAAGAAGAAAGCAGCUGGAAAACCACACAUCAAUUAACUGAUUAAUGAUCUGCACUUUUGGGAAUAAAAAAUAGCUACAAUUGUCAUAAAAUUUGUAAGCCAUACAUCUUGCUUUGGGAACAUUUUAGCAUUCUAAUUCUAAUUCUUCAUAAAAAGAAAACAGAUAAGGUGAGACAUUAAGGUGGUAUAUGUAGCUGUUG